rnacentral:rRNA from 1 species
CCUACGGGUGGCAGCAGUGAGGAAUAUUGGUCAAUGGGCGAGAGCCUGAACCAGCCAAGUCGCGUGAGGGAGUACUGCCCUAUGGGUUGUAAACCUCUUUUGUCGGGGAGCAAAAGCCGGACGUGUCCGGCUGUGAGAGUACCCGAAGAAAAAGCAUCGGCUAACUCCGUGCCAGCAGCCGCGGUAAUACGGAGGAUGCGAGCGUUAUCCGGAUUUAUUGGGUUUACAGGGUGCGCAGGCGGAUUUUUAAGUCAGCGGUAAAAUCGUGGGGCUCAACCCCAUCCAGCCGUUGAAACUGGGGAUCUAGAGUGUGCGAGAGGUAUGCGGAAUGCGUGGUGUAGCGGUGAAAUGCAUAGAUAUCACGCAGAACCCCGAUUGCGAAGGCAGCAUACCGGUGCACAACUGACGCUCAGGCACGAAAGCGUGGGUAUCGAACAGGAUUAGAUACCCCUGUAGUC